ensembl:snRNA RNU6-862P RNA, U6 small nuclear 862, pseudogene
GUGCUCGCUUCAGCAGCACAUAAUACUAAAAUUGGAACGAUGCAGAGAUUAGCAUGGCCUCUGCGCAAGGAUGACAAGCAAAUUUGUGAAUCAUUCCAUAUUUAA